rnacentral:rRNA from 1 species
GAAGAACAAGUACCGUUCGAAUAGGGCGGUACCUUGACGGUACCUAACCAGAAAGCCACGGCUAACUACGUGCCAGCAGCCGCGGUAAUACGUAGGUGGCAAGCGUUGUCCGGAAUUAUUGGGCGUAAAGCGCGCGCAGGCGGUUUCUUAAGUCUGAUGUGAAAGCCCCCGGCUCAACCGGGGAGGGUCAUUGGAAACUGGGGAACUUGAGUGCAGAAGAGGAGAGUGGAAUUCCACGUGUAGCGGUGAAAUGCGUAGAGAUGUGGAGGAACACCAGUGGCGAAGGCGACUCUCUGGUCUGUAACUGACGCUGAGGCGCGAAAGCGUGGGGAGCGAACAGGAUUAGAUACCCUGGUAGUCCACGCCGUAAACGAUGAGUGCUAAGUGUUAGAGGGUUUCCGCCCUUUAGUGCUGCAGCAAACGCAUUAAGCACUCCGCCUGGGGAGUACGGUCGCAAGACUGAAACUCAAAGGAAUUGACGGGGGCCCGCACAAGCGGUGGAGCAUGUGGUUUAAUUCGAAGCAACGC